CUUCAUUAAAAACUGUAAAGCUUAUUGGUGAUUUUGUUUAGUUAUCACUAAAUCUUUUUAAACAUGGCAUGCAUUUUUUGUUAGUUUAUUGAAUGGGAUUUUAUCUCCUGCUAUCUCCCUAUCAACAUUGACACCACCACAUAGCUUUUGGCAAUGGCAAAAAACAUGGCAAAAAAAGGAUUGGACCGAGUUUGAGUAAGACAAGGUCAUGGAAUGACUGAGCUCAUCCUCAAUCCAUUAGAAAACCUCUGAAGGCAUCUGAAGUCUACAAUUCUCCAACUGAUGACAGAAUAUCAAGAAUUAUGAGGGAAUCUGUCAAGAUAAGUGAACAAACACCAUUGAAUGCUGACAUUGCCAGAAUCAGAUUGGGGGCAUUGCAAAGAAGUUAUGGUACUCCAUGGGAGCUCUAAGUCCACUUUCCCUCAUUUCCUGCAUGCUCAUACUCGCACACCUGACAGUUACUGGAGAAACCCUCAGAAAUAAACCACAACCUGGUCGAGGCUACAAUACAGGCCAGGAAAAGCAUUUCAAAUUUCAGAAUUUGAUGAAGUCAUUGGGUUGCAGCUAUUUUUUCCCCCUGUCCUGUGCAGCUGCUACAACAUAGUUAAAUGCCACCCAAUCAUAAAAUGUUAUUUACUAAGUUAAUUAAAUGGUGCUCCCAAUUCUUUUGCUCGCUUCAAAGAGGGUGUCGUGAUUCAAAAGCUGCUCUGUCCUGAGUAUUUUAAGUCAUCAAG